AUACUGUAGACUGUUAAAUUCCAAACACAUACAAGUAGGUUACUGCCACACUUAACCCAACCCAAACCUCAACCCAACAUCCAACCCCAACCGUAUCCCUAAACCGAGAAAGUCGCUAAGCUUGAGCACACACUAACACCUUUGCAGUUUUCCAUGCUAUACCCAUGUCUAUAUGAUGAAUUAAGUGUACAUUAACAAUCUAACAAUGUGUGGGUUUUUUUUUUUUUUUUUGUGCUUUACCAUAGUUCCCAGUGAUUUGUCAGAUUUCAGUGUGCUAUAUCUCCCCUUUGGUCACUGUGUGGAUAACUGUACCAUGUUAAGUUUCCUAUCUAUUUCAUAACGCAUAUACUGGUAUGUUUUGCAUAUAUUGGUAUGUUUUGCAUAUACUGGUAUGUUUUUUCAAAGUUUUGGGAUGGCAACUUCGACCUCAACAGAGUUCACACAAACUGGUUUACAUUCUCCCUUUUUUAUUUAAUUUCACCAGCAGGGAUGGUUGUCAGAAUCCCAUUCCAGGUUUUACCAUGUGCUGAAUUAGCCAUCGUGUACAGAUACCGUGCUCACGACUGUCUCGCUGAGCUCACACAGUGUAACCUGGAUUACAUUAAACUGCAGUGCAAUGGAAGUCUCAUUUCCAUCCCAGCUAUCAGGAGCAGGCAUUUUGGCUUGCAGGGUAUCAUUGUGGAAAGCAGGUUCUAAGGGCGAGGUGAGCUCAAACAAGGUACCCUGUCAAUGAAGUCUGUUUCCUUACAAUUUAACAGUGUACAGAAAUAUUACUUCUGGGAGACUAAAGUAAAAGGAAACAAAUAAUCAUUAAAUAGUAAUGUAAACGUGCACAUGGCAGUGAGAUACUGCAGACAGACGCUAUUUAACCCAGAUUCACUGGAAAAACUCAGACACUGCCAUCUGUCAGAUCUCAACGCAGGCUGUUGAGAAUGGCACACGUUUCGCACCACAUAAACGCCAAAGAAAUGAUUGCAACCAGACCACUCACCGCGUGCUGCACCUAGCAGUCUGAGGCUGCAAAUUCACUAAGUGGGCGAAUGGACUUGUUUGUGCAAGCAAUACUUAAUAUUUGUUUUGGGGAGGAGAAAGAAAGAAAAAAAAAACGAGACAUUCCAAUGCGCUUUUUUAUUCUUAAAACUGAUACUGUUUAGCACCUAACAGUUAUUAUACGCAAGGACCCGUUAGUUGUAUUUGUUUAAGUACUGUGUAAUUAUGUAUAACGACAGUAGGACUACAUAUCAUUUCGUAUAAUGUUGUAUACGAUGAUGAACAAUAGGGUUUGAAUUUCUUUGCAGCAACUGGCAGAAGCUGAUAAAACGUUAGCAGGAAAGAAGGACCUGAUCGAUACUCAGUAAUAAACUCAGAAACACUUGAAACUGAAGUCUGACAGUACUUAAGACUCGUUUCAACUUGGGAGUUAAAGCUAUGGAGUCAUCGCUAACCCCAGGAGUAUCUACCCCUGCACACAGCCACAGCCCAGGCUCUUGCUUCUGGAAAGUGUUGGGAGUCUGGGGCUCCGAGCUGUCUGGAUCCUCUCCGCGUGCCAGAGAUUUAAGGCUGGAAGGAUUCAAGCUUGUUGGCAGACUAUGGAACAUCUCUCAGUGAAGAGCCAUGAAGUCCUUCUUGCCCAACCUCCAAGCAGCAGCCAACAAACAUUGGCAACUCCCACAAAGAGGAAGAUAAAUACAAUCUAUUUGCCUUCGACUCUGCACCGAUGUUUCAUUUCCUGCUAUUACAUGAAUACCAAGUUCUGUAGAGAUACGCAUUCUUCCACUAAGAUCUAGGUCCUCAGUCCACUGGCUUAUUUGCCCCUUUUCUAUUCCCAGAAUUCACUUGUUAUUAGGAAGUCCCAAUACAUACUUUACAGUGGUGUUAUGAAAAGAAUGCUUGAAGCAAAAAAAAAGAAAACCAAAGUCUGUUUCAGUAGAUGGCACUGUUGUCUCAAUAUGCACAGCAAUUGCAUGAAAACCUGCAAAAGGUAAUCCAGGAGACUAUAGCAUCUAGCUUUUUAAAAACAAACCCAAAAAACAUUUAAAGCACUUUUUAUGAAUAAAAUACUGUUCCAAGCACAAACUUACCUAGACACUUGUGGGUUAAAUCUAUUUUGUUCAUGCCCAAUAGCUUAAACACAUUGUUGCAUUUUUUUGAAAAUAUUUGAUCACAAAAAAUAAAAACUUCUUUUACUUGUUAGUCUUCUUUUUAGCUUGUGGAAAUGACGCAACACAAACAAAAGGAGUUCAAAUGGACAAGGUAACUAACUACCCCUUAUCUGAGAACAGUAAUUAAACAGGAUACACAAACAGAACCAGCAGGAAUGACCUGGCCUCAUUAAAAGGGUGUUGUACGAAAUCAAAUCAUGGUGUUUUCGUGUAAUUGAAACUGCUCAAAUCCAUUAGUAGGGUCCUUGAAAUGGCUGCUCCGAGGCACAGGUCAUUGUUUAACCUUUAGGGCAGACGCACUUUACUGAAGGCUGCUGGUAUUAUUGAAAUCCUAUCCCCACCAAUACAAGGGAUGACAAAACCUUUACUGUAACUCGCUGAACAUUAUACCGUUAGGUUUGAUUAUUCGAUAAGCUGCAGACGAUGUGGACAGCUUUUUAUUUUUAUUAAAAUGUCUUUACAAAAUAUUGCCAAACUGCAUAAUAACGUCCAAUUUCUUACCUUCAAACUCAUUUCAUAGGUGACCCGAGUCAAAUUUAAUGCCCAGGGUGAAAGUGAAUUAUUUAUAUUUAUUUUAAAACCUUGGUUAUUUGAAAAUUUAAGAAAGGCACAACACAAAACUGUAUAAAGAGAAUGACGUCACAGAAAUAAAAACAAAACAACAUUAAAACACCAAGUAUUCUUGUUUAUUACUUUUAAAACACCUAUAAUAAAACUAUC